rnacentral:rRNA from 1 species
GACGAACGUUGGCGGCGUGCCUAAUACAUGCAAGUCAACUGAAAUACCGGUAGCAAUACUGGUAUGGAGGUGGCGCACGGGUGAGUAACACGUAGGUAAUCUGCCUUCAGGUCUGACAUAACCCAUCGAAAGGUGAGCUAAUAUCAGAUGAUGCAGCGGCUUGACAUCAAGACAGUUGUUAAAGCUUCGGCGCCUGAAGAUGAGCCUGCGCUGAUUAGCUAGUUGGCGGGUAACGGCCACCAAGGCUGCGAUCAGUAGCUGGUCUGAGAGGAUGAUCAGUCACACUGGAACU